UGUGUCAUUAAAAUCAUUUUGAGGUUUUAAUAAUUCCGUGUUCUGACUCCCUAAUAGAAUAUUAGCACAUUUUUUUCAGUUUCACAGAUUAAAAAUAGAGAAUUGUCCUGCUAAACUUUUUCUCUAUAUUGGCAGAUCUAAAGCUUUUAUUUUGAAGAAUGGCAGGUCCGUCAACCUAUCAGAGGCCAGGACACCAAAUGGAGACCACACAGGCUGCUGGGCUUCAUUACAACCCAUACCCGCCCAUUCCUGUUUGGCUUUUCCUUAACCGUGUGCUCUGAAUGGUUUGUCUGGUUUGAAACUGCUGAGUCAGCAGAGAGAAUGGUGGCUGCAGUUUGAUAACAAAGAAGACUCGAGGGGAUUCCCAGUUGAAUUUUCAGCUGAGCAUCAAAGUUGAUCCAGCUGCUCAAAAAACUUGAGUUGACCUCUGACAUCGCUGACCUGCUCACAUCGCUCAUCUUCCUGAUGAAGCAGAAGAUGGAGGAGAAGAUGGAGCGUCACAACAUCGAGCCCAGCUCUCUCUAAAACGACGGAUCACCUUCAGGCCGACGUUCUUGUGGGCUAUCCGGCUGAGAGACGGGGUGGAGAGGAAGGCCUCGUCCUUGCAGGAGCGAGUCACCAUGCCAACCAGCUCAGAGCUGGUAGCCAGGAUGCGGGCACUCUCCUCCGAUAGGUUGACCCCUGCCAUGGACGCCACGUCG